rnacentral:rRNA from 1 species
UAGGGAAUAUUGGUAAUGUGCGAAAGCGCGAACCAGCAACGCCGCGUGCACGAUGAAGGCCUUCGGGUCGUAAAGUGCUUUUAGAGAGGAUGAGGAAGGACAGUACUUUCUGAAUAAGCCUCGGCUAACUACGUGCCAGCAGCCGCGGUAAAACGUAGGAGGCUAGCGUUAUCCGGAUUUACUGUGCGUAAAGCGCAUGCAGGUGGUUUUGUAAGUUGGAUGUGAAAGCUCCUGGCUUAACUGGGAGAGGUCGUUCAAAACUACAAGACUUGAUAUUGAUAGAGGAAAAUGGAAUUCCGGGUGUAGUGGUGAAAUGCGUAGAUAUCCGGAGGAACACCAGUGGCGAAAGCGGUUUUCUGGACCAAUUCGGACACUCAGA